GAGUUUGAUCCUGGCUCAGGAUGAACGCUGGCGGCGUGCCUAACACAUGCAAGUCGAACGGGGUAUAUAAGCGGAAGUUUACGGAUGGAAGGUUAUAUACUUAGUGGCGGACGGGUGAGUAACGCGUGGGCAACCUGCCCCGUGCCGGGGGAUACCGCCUGGAAACAGGCGCUAAUACCGCAUAAGCGCAUACAGCCGCAUGGGUGUAUGCGGAAAGCUCCGGCGGCACGGGAUGGGCCCGCGCCCGAUUAGCCAGUUGGCGGGGUAACGGCCCACCAAAGCGACGAUCGGUAGCCGGCCUGAGAGGGCGGACGGCCACAUUGGGACUGAGACACGGCCCAAACUCCUACGGGAGGCAGCAGUGGGGAAUAUUGCACAAUGGGGGAAACCCUGAUGCAGCAACGCCGCGUGGGUGAAGGAGCGUUUCGGCGCGUAAAGCCCUGUCAGCGGGGAAGAAGAAAGACGGUACCCGACCAAGAAGCCCCGGCUAACUACGUGCCAGCAGCCGCGGUAAUACGUAGGGGGCGAGCGUUAUCCGGAAUUACUGGGUGUAAAGGGAGCGUAGACGGCGAGGUAAGCCUGAAGUGGAAGCCCGCGGCCCAACCGCGGAACUGCUUUGGGAACUGUUUUGCUGGAGUAUGGGAGGGGUAAGCGGAAUUCCUGGUGUAGCGGUGAAAUGCGU
rnacentral:rRNA from 1 species